UACGUAGGUGGCAAGCGUUGUCCGGAUUUACUGGGCGUAAAGAGCGCGCAGGCGGUCGUUCAAGUCGCGUGUGAAAGCCCCCGGCUCAACUGGGGAGGGUCACGCGAUACUGAUCGACUCGAAGGCAGGAGAGGGAAGUGGAAUUCCCGGUGUAGCGGUGGAAUGCGUAGAGAUCGGGAAGAACAUCGGUGGCGAAGGCGGCCUGCUGGGCUCUUGCUGACACUGAUGCGCGACAGCGUGGGGAGCAAACAGG
rnacentral:rRNA from 1 species